rnacentral:rRNA from 1 species
UACGUAGGUGGCGAGCGUUGUCCGGAUUUACUGGGCGUAAAGGGUGCGUAGGCGGCCCUGUAAGUCAGUGCUGAAAUAUCCCAGCUUAACUGGGAGGGUGGCAUUGAUACUGCGGGGCUAGAGUACAGAUGAGGUAGGCGGAAUUGACGGUGUAGCGGUGAAAUGCUUAGAUAUCGUCAAGAACACCUAUAGCGAAGGCAGCUUACUAGGCUGUAACUGACGCUGAGACACGAAAGCCAGGGGAGCAAACGGG